AUGCACGCUGGCGGCGUGCCUAAUACAUGCAGGUCGAGCGAACAGACGAGGAGCUUGCUCCUCUGACGUUAGCGGCGGACGGGUGAGUAACACGUGGAUAACCUACCUAUAAGACUGGGAUAACUUCGGGAAACCGGAGCUAAUACCGGAUAAUAUAUUGAACCGCAUGGUUCCAUAGUGAAAGACGGUUUUGCUGUCACUUAUAGAUGGAUCCGCGCCGCAUUAGCUAGUUGGUAAGGUAACGGCUUACCAAGGCAACGAUGCGUAGCCGACCUGAGAGGGUGAUCGGCCACACUGGAACUGAGACACGGUCCAGACUCCUACGGGAGGCAGCAGUAGGGAAUCUUCCGCAAUGGGCGAAAGCCUGACGGAGCAACGCCGCGUGAGUGAUGAAGGUCUUCGGAUCGUAAAACUCUGUUAUUAGGGAAGAACAAAUGUGUAAGUAACUAUGCACGUCUUGACGGUACCUAAUCAGAAAGCCACGGCUAACUACGUG
rnacentral:rRNA from 1 species